UACGUAGGGUGCAAGCGUUAAUCGGAAUUACUGGGCGUAAAGCGUGCGCAGGCGGUUUUGUAAGUCUGUCGUGAAAUCCCCGGGCUUAACCUGGGAAUGGCGAUGGUGACUGCAAGGCUAGAGUUUGGCAGAGGGGGGUAGAAUUCCACGUGUAGCAGUGAAAUGCGUAGAGAUGUGGAGGAACACCGAUGGCGAAGGCAGCCCCCUGGGUCAAGACUGACGCUCAUGCACGAAAGCGUGGGGAGCAAACAGG
rnacentral:rRNA from 1 species